rnacentral:rRNA from 1 species
GACGAACGCUGCCGGCGCGCUCAACCCAUGCAAGUCGAACGGACAGGCCCUGCUUAUGUGGGGUGCUCGAGUGGCGAACGCGUGAGUAACACGUGAGUAACCUGCCCUUGACUUUGGGAUAUCUUCAGGAAACUGGGGCUAAUACCGGAUAGGAGCACCCGCCGCAUGGUGGGGGUUGGACAGUUUCGGCAGUUGGGGAUGGACUCGCGGCUUCUCAGCUUGUUGGUUGGGUAGUGGCAUACCAAGGCUCUGACGGGUAGCCGGCCUGAGCGGGAGACCGGCCUGGCUGGGGCUGGGGUACGGCCCAGACUCCUACGGGAGGCAGCAGUGGGGAAUAUUGCACAAUGGGCCGAAGCCUGAUGCAGGAACGCCGCCUGAGGGAUGACGGCCUUCGGGUUGUAGACCGCGUUCGCCUGUGACGGAGCGUGAGUGACGGUAAUGGGUAAAGAAGCACCGGCUAACUACGUG